rnacentral:rRNA from 1 species
UACAGAGGUGGCAAGCGUUGUUCGGAAUUACUGGGCGUAAAGGGCGCGUAGGCGGUCCGAUAAGUCCCGUGUGAAAUCCCUCGGCUCAACUGAGGAAUGGCACGGGAAACUGCCGGGCUUGAGUUCGGGAGAGGGAAGCGGAAUUCCGGGUGUAGCGGUGAAAUUCGUAGAUAUUCGCAAGAACACCAGUGGCGAAGGCGGCUCACUGGCCCGGUACUGACGCUGAGGUGCGAAAGCGUGGGGAGCAAACAGG